rnacentral:rRNA from 1 species
CAGUCGCCGCGGGAAAACGAGGGGCGCAAGCGUUAUUCGGAUUGAUUGGGCGUAAAGGGUGUGCAGACGGCUUAUUAAGUCACUUGUUAAAUUCUUCGGCCUAACUGAAGGUCUGCAAGUGAUACUGAUGAGCUAGAGGGUGGAAGAGAGAAGUGGAAUUCUCGGAGUAGCGGUAAAAUGCGUAGAUCUCGAGAGGAACACCAAUGGCGAAGGCAGCUUCUUGGUCCAUUCCUGACGUUCAUACACGAAAGCGUGGGGAGCAAACAGGAUUAGAGACCCCAGUAGUCCCUGUCUCUUAUAC